CAUUGUGGAACCAGACCUGUCUGACGUCAAAGUCAAAGCCCCUCUACAGUGCCAUUUUGCCUUGGGAAGGGGCGCUAUUGAGUCCAUGGAAGGACCUGUAAGCCACAAUCCUACGUGAAGUCCCAAGCUCUGCCCUUCUAAUAUCAAUGGCUAAGAUGGAAAUAUGAAAAGUGUGCUUAUCAUAAAUGACAAACGCCUAUGAGAGAUGACAAAUAUAGCUGAUGACAGGAUUGAACUUCAGAAAGUGCUAUGAGAGCUUGGAACAGUGGACCAAAGCAAACAAAUUUUAAAAUCAAGAUGCAGAACUAAUUGCCAGAAGGAUGAAAAACUAUCUCCCUCAAAUCACAAGGGGAACAAGUAGAAGAAAAGGAAAAGCAUAAAGCCACAGUACUCUAAAACCCAUAGUUUCUACUACGAGUGGGUGGGAAGAGGCAGGUGCAGUGCUACAUCCCCAGCCCCAAGGAAGAACUUUGUUAUAGUCAGCCAUGCCCAAGAAUAAUAUGAUUUGCCUUGGAGAGGUCAACCUGGAUGAAUCUAUUCACCACUGAAAGAAAGGGGCUAAAGUCAACAGCAAAGAAACCUGGCAUCUACCUUGGUCUCUAACUCCCUAGAGAUGUGCUUAGGCCACAGAGCCACUGUGAGAUCCCAGCCAAAUGACUUUGCCAAGAUAUCCUUAUCACAGUCGAUACUUUUGCUCUUCGAUGCUGAAGACAUAAAACACACACAGAGCUGGAGGUGCCGAAGGAGAUGCUGUCUGGUAAAGAGAACACCAGGUUGUAUUUGACUAGAACUAGAAUCACCUCCUGCUGAUGCUCUCUGAUUCUGGAAAACCUGGAGCUGGAGACCAGAAAGCCCUAGAACCGCUACCCCUCCAGCGGACCACACCAGGCUGCUCCCAAGAGUUAUCACAAUGCUGAUCACAGUCCCAAACUAAUGCCUGGAGGUGAGGCUCUCUGACCCUUGAAACAGAAAAAAGGAUGGCUUUCUUCAUAUUCAAACCAACAUUAUGCUCUUUAAACUUUCUUUAAAAAAAAACUUGAAUAAAAUCAUGCUUUCUUAAUAAGCA